rnacentral:tRNA from 1 species
GUAGCUUAGUUGGUAAGCACUCGUCUAGCAUACAAGAGUCCUGGGUUCAAAUCCCAGUACA